AUUGAACGCUGGCGGCAGGCCUAACACAUGCAAGUCGAACGGUAACAGGAAGCAGCUUGCUGCUUUGCUGACGAGUGGCGGACGGGUGAGUAAUGUCUGGGAAACUGCCCGAUGGAGGGGGAUAACUACUGGAAACGGUAGCUAAUACCGCAUAACGUCGCAAGACCAAAGAGGGGGACCUUAGGGCCUCUUGCCAUCGGAUGUGCCCAGAUGGGAUUAGCUAGUAGGUGGGGUAACGGCUCACCUAGGCGACGAUCCCUAGCUCGUCUGAGAGGAUGACCAGCCACACUGGAACUGAGACACGGUCCAGACUCCUACGGGAGGCAGCAGUGGGGAAUAUUGCACAAUGGGCGCAAGCCUGAUGCAGCCAUGCCGCGUGUAUGAAGAAGGCCUUCGGGUUGUAAAGUACUUUCAGCGGGGAGGAAGGGAGUAAAGUUAAUACCUUUGCUCAUUGACGUUACCCGCAGAAGAAGCACCGGCUAACUCCGUG
rnacentral:rRNA from 1 species